rnacentral:rRNA from 1 species
UACAGAGGUCCCAAGCGUUGUUCGGAUUCAUUGGGCGUAAAGGGUGCGUAGGUGGCGCCGUAAGUCAGGUGUGAAAUCUCGGGGCUUAACUCCGAAACUGCAUUUGAUACUGCGGUGCUUGAGGACUGGAGAGGAGACUGGAAUUUACGGUGUAGCGGUGAAAUGCGUAGAUAUCGUAAGGAAGACCAGUGGCGAAGGCGGGUCUCUGGACAGUUCCUGACACUGAGCACGAAGGCCAGGGGAGCAAACGGG